CAGAACUCCUACGGGAGGCAGCAGUGAGGAAUAUUGGUCAAUGGGCGAGAGCCUGAACCAGCCAAGUAGCGUGCAGGACGACGGCCCUAUGGGUUGUAAACUGCUUUUAUAAGGGAAUAAAGUGGGUCACGUGUGACUUUUUGCAUGUACCUUAUGAAUAAGGACCGGCUAAUUCCGUGC
rnacentral:rRNA from 1 species